rnacentral:rRNA from 1 species
UACGAAGGGGGCUAGCGUUGCUCGGAAUCACUGGGCGUAAAGGGUGCGUAGGCGGGUCUUUAAGUCAAGGGUGAAAUCCUGGAGCUCAACUCCAGAACUGCCUUUGAUACUGAAGAUCUUGAGUCCGGGAGAGGUGAGUGGAACUGCGAGUGUAGAGGUGAAAUUCGUAGAUAUUCGCAAGAACACCAGUGGCGAAGGCGGCUCACUGGCCCGGUACUGACGCUGAGGCACGAAAGCGUGGGGAGCAAACAGG